CAACUAUAUUUUUUUAUUCGGUUUUAAAUGUCUCGCGCCUUGGUAUUUUGCCGGGUGGGGGGCGUCCCUCCAAGUGGGGGCCCCCCCUUCUCCCGCCAUUUUUCUGGAGAGGGCUCUGUGCCUCCUGUAAAUAUCUGAUCCAUACCGAUUACUUUUAGAAAAAAAUAUAGUUCGCGCGGGCGGCAGCCUAAACACAUUAUCUCGGAAAAAUAGCAUUUGACUUCAUUCCUGAACUUUUUGGGUUCCCGGAAUGGAGGAAACCAAAUAGGGAUAAUUGGGGGCCUUCGUAUUUUACUGUCACACGUGAGAUUCUUGGAUUUUUUACAGACUAAAUACUGCCAAAGCAUCUGCCCUGAUGUUUUUAUUUUUCACUAAUGAAGGACAUGGGAUCGAACACAAAAGCAUACCCCCCCACACUUAACCAUAUUCUUUUUUCUACUAUAGAUUGCGACUGGGCAGCGCGAAGCUUUGUGCAACUUCAGGGAAAUAAACUCAUACUUGUUCAGUCGGUGCCGGGCCACCCGCGUAACUUAACUGAAAUUGACCGGAAGGACCGCCAGGCUGGACCCGGCUCGUAGCUUAGACUGACCUGGCAAAUUCACAAAGUAUGGACCUACACAGUCUCGCCGACGGAUGGCCCCUCUUGCUUCUGUCUGUGGGGGCGCAGGCCUGGUGCUGCUGGGGAGAGAUUGCUCUGCCUAAUUCCUCCUCAUCCAAUCUUAACCUGAUAAAUUCUGGCUGAAUUGUUCGUAAUAUUUUUAGGUUCUUAAUCGAAUUUGUAGGUUCUAGCCCCUGCUAAGCGAUGCCCUGAAUAGGUUGU
rnacentral:rRNA from 1 species